UACAGAGGGGGCAAGCGUUGUUCGGAAUUACUGGGCGUAAAGGGCGCGUAGGCGGCCUUCUAAGUCGAACGUGAAAUCCCCGGGCUCAACCCGGGAACUGCGUCCGAGACUGGAAGGCUUGAAUCCGGGAGAGGGAUGUGGAAUUCCAGGUGUAGCGGUGAAAUGCGUAGAUAUCUGGAGGAACAUCGGUGGCGAAGGCGGCAUCCUGGACCGGCAUUGACGCUGAGGCGCGAAAGCCAGGGGAGCAAACGGG
rnacentral:rRNA from 1 species